CCCCGCCCCGGGCACACGGGUAGGGUGCGGGCGUCCGGCGGUGCCCGAGGGAAUGCGGAGAGGUGGUCAAAGAGCUGACUGUCUACCAGCAAGCCAGCAGCUGAGCCCAGGACUUUGAGAGACAUAUGACAGCUGGAUAACUGACCAGUGUGCAAAAAAGCUUGAAAUUUUGUGCACAUGGGAUGAGCAAGAGGUUUUCCCAUUUACACAUACCAAAGGGUAUGUUUUCUUUGAGGGAGAAGUGAGGAGUGAAAUGGUGCAGAACCCCAGGAAAAGGGGAUCAAGUUUACCUCCUGAACAAACCUGUCAUUGACAAACCAUUGGCUCCAGGUUGAGGUGAAAGCAGCCAGCAAGGCUUGAUGAGAGUGACUUGCAGCCUGCAGAGACAGCUGCAUCCCAGCAGAGCUGACCAAAGGAUCCCAGAACAGCUGUAGGCACCCACGUCCCAGGAAAGGACCAUGCAAGGGCCAGGAGGUCUUUGUAAGAACUUCCCUCAUAUUCAAUCCUCAGUUAUCCGUGGAAACACCUACUCCUUUUAUCCCCUCUUGACAAAUAGGGAGUUGGAGUUCCAUAAGCUCUGACCAAAUGGCUGGUGAAGAGCAGAUAUAGGGCUCAAGCCUAGUUCUUGUGCACUUGAUGGUCAAAGUUCUCAUCAAUGCAGCUCAUUUCUUCGUGGUCAUGACAAACAAAAAUUAGGAAUUAGGAGCAGCACUUCUGGACUCAGAUACCUCUUCCCAGCAAAACAAAUAUUUAACUGGAGAAAAUUAUGAAUAUCAGUCAUUUGAAUCUCCGGAAAUUGUCCUAAGGACACACAGCAGGUGGGAAAAUAUUCAUUCAAGAAAAUGUACCAAAUCUUGAUAAGAAUAAUGAAGGAAUGUCUAUGGCUUUUGAA